rnacentral:lncRNA from 1 species
GAUCUGUAUUAACUUUGUAAGAGCUUUGCAAAGUCAAGGUUUGUUUUGGAUGACUUGGGUUUUGAGAAAUAAAAUAGGAUUUAUAUUUUGGGUGAUUUCAAGAGUUUUGUAAUAGAUCUAUAAGUAAAAUUGUGUAGCUUAAUGUUUAUAGUUGUGUCUAAUAUGUAUUGUAAAUUUGAGGUUGAUCUACUGGUUGAAUUGAGGGUUAUUGAGGUUUAAGUGAGUUAAGGUCUCAAAAUAGAAUUUUAGGUCUAGUGAGGGUUUUUAAGAUUUCUUGCAAUCUAUUAGUUGGAUUGGAAGGAAAUUUAUGUGAAAGGAUAUUAGACUUGUUUUUCU